UUCAGGUUCGAAUAGCAUUUC
rnacentral:piRNA from 1 species